rnacentral:rRNA from 1 species
UACGAAGGGGGCGAGCGUUGUUCGGAAUUACUGGGCGUAAAGGGCGUGCAGGCGGCCUUAGAAGUCAGAUGUGAAAGCCCCGGGCUCAACCUGGGAAUGGCAUUUGAUACUCUGAGGCUGGAGUACGGGAGAGGAGAGUGGAAUUCCCAGUGUAGAGGUGAAAUUCGUAGAUAUCGGGAGGAACACCGGUGGCGAAGGCGGUUCUCUGGGCCUUACCUGACGCUGAGGAGCGAAAGCGUGGGGAGCGAACAGG